UCUUGAGUGCGAAAGGCUGGGUAUGUUUUAUAGAUUCCCACCAGUAAUCUGUCUCUUCACGAAUCAUAAAGGUAGUGAAGGGAACCUUUUACUCCUCUAGGCAUCCAUGACAUCAAAUAUCUUGGUGAUCUGCUUAAUCCAUGCCUCAGCCUUAAGUGGUUCUGGCUUUCCCAAAAACUCUGGCGGUCCCAGCUCCUUGAACUGUUUAGCAGUGACCAGCCGUGAGUUGCCAUUG
rnacentral:lncRNA from 1 species